rnacentral:rRNA from 1 species
AACUCUGCAAAUUGAUACCGUAACUUCGGAAGAAGGUAUGCCUUUUUUGGUCACUGGACUUGCUCCAGGAAGCUGAAGAAGGCCGCAGGUAAUCGGGGGCUGCGACUGUUUACCAAAAACACAGGACUCUGCGAACACGUAAGUGGAUGUAUAGGGUCUGACGCCUGCCCGGUGCUGGAAGGUUAAUUGAUGGGGCCAGCCGCAAGGCGAAGCUCUUGAUCGAAGCCCCAGUAAACGGCGGCCGUAACAAUAACGGUCCUAAGGUAGCGAAAUUCCUUGUCGGGUAAGUUCCGACCUGCACGAAUGGCGUAACGCUGGCCCCACUGUCUCGACCAGAGACUCAGUGAAGUUGAAAUCGCUGUGAAGAUGCGGCGUAGCUGCGGAAAGACGGAAAGACCCCGUGAACCUUUACUACAGCUUUACACUGAACUUUGAAUUUAUUUGUGUAGGAUAGGUGGGAGCCUUUGAAGCAGGGGCGCUAGCUCUUGUGGAGGCAACCUUGAAAUACCACCCUGAUAACUUCGGAGUUCUAACCUAGAUCCGUAAUCCGGAUUGGGAACACUGUAUGGUGGGUAGUUUGACUGGGGCGGUCUCCUCCCAAAGAGUAACGGAGGAGUGCAAAGGUACCCUCAGCGCGGUCGGUCAUCGCGCUUUUGAGUGCAAUGGCAUAAGGGUGCUUGACUGCGAGACGUACAUGUCGAGCAGGAACGAAAGUUGGUCAUAGUGAUCCGGUGGUUCUGUAUGGAAGGGCCAUCGCUCAACGGAUAAAAGGUACUCCGGGGAUAACAGGCUUAUUCCUCCCAAGAGUCCACAUCGACGGAGGAGUUUGGCACCUCGAUGUCGGCUCAUCACAUCCUGGGGCUGUAGCAGGUCCCAAGGGUUCGGCUGUUCGCCGAUUAAAGUGGUACGCGAGCUGGGUUCAAAACGUCGUGAGACAGUUUGGUCCCUAUCUUCCGUAGCCGUUGGAGAUUUGAGGGUGAGUUGCUCCUAGUACGAGAGGACCGGAGUGAAUGUAUCUCUGGUGUUCCGGUUGUCACGCCAGUGGCACUGCCGGGUAGCUAUAUACAGACGGGAUAACCGCUGAAAGCAUCUAAGCGGGAAGCCCCCCCCAAGACGAGAUCUCCCUGAGGACUUGAUCCUCCUAAAGGGCCCAAGAAGACUACUUGGUUGAUAGGCUGGGUGUGUACGCGUAGCAAUACGCUUAGCUAACCAGUACUAAUUGCCCGUGAGGCUUGAUCAG